AGAGAAGCGAUGCGGCGACGCAGAGCGGAACUUCAAAGCCUGUCUCAGUUCGGAUUGGAGUCUGCAACCCGACUCCAUGAAGCUGGAUUCGCUAGUAAUCGCGCAUCAGCCACGGCGCGGUGAAUACGUUCCCGGGCCUUGUACACACCGCCCGUCAAGCCAUGGAAGCCGGGGGUGCCUGAAGUGCGCUGCCGCAAGGAGCGCCCUAGGGUAAAACCGGUGACUGGGGCUAAGUCGUAACAAGGUACC
rnacentral:rRNA from 1 species